rnacentral:rRNA from 1 species
UACAGGGGGUGCAAACGUUGCUCGGAAUUAUUGGGUGUAAAGCGCGCGUAGGCGGCUACUUAAGUCGGAUGUGAAAGCCCCUGGCUCAACUGGGGAAGUGCACCCGAAACUGAGUGGCUUGAGUGCGAAAGAGGGUCGCGGAAUUCCCGGUGUAGAGGUGAAAUGCGCAGAUAUCAGGAGGAACACCGGUGGCGAAGGCGGUUCUCUGGGCAUGUCCUGACGCUGAGGAGCGAAAGUGUGGGGAGCGAACAGG